rnacentral:rRNA from 1 species
CAGGUUUACCUGUGUGACUGCGUACCUUUUGUAUAAUGGGUCAGCGACUUAUAUUCUGUAGCAAGGUUAACCGAAUAGGGGAGCCGGAGGGAAACCGAGUCUUAAUUGGGCGUUAAGUUGCAGGGUAUAGACCCGAAACCCGGUGAUCUAGCCAUGGGCAGGUUGAAGGUUGGGUAACACUAACUGGAGGACCGAACCGACUAAUGUUGAAAAAUUAGCGGAUGACCUGUGGCUGGGGGUGAAAGGCCAAUCAAACCGGGAGAUAGCUGGUUCUCCCCGAAAGCUAUUUAGGUAGCGCCUCGUGAAUUCAUCUCCGGGGGUAGAGCACUGUUUCGGCUAGGGGGCCAUCCCGGCUUACCAACCCGAUGCAAACUGCGAAUACCGGAGAAUGUUAUCACGGGAGACACACGGCGGGUGCUAACGUCCGUCGUGAAGAGGGAAACAACCCAGACCGCCAGCUAAGGUCCCAAAGUCAUGGUUAAGUGGGAAACGAUGUGGGAAGGCCCAGACAGCCAGGAUGUUGGCUUAGAAGCAGCCAUCAUUUAAAGAAAGCGUAAUAGCUCACUGGUCGAGUCGGCCUGCGCGGAAGAUGUAACGGGGCUAAACCAUGCACCGAAGCUGCGGCAGCGACGCUUAUGCGUUGUUGGGUAGGGGAGCGUUCUGUAAGCCUGUGAAGGUGUGUCGUGAGGCAUGCUGGAGGUAUCAGAAGUGCGAAUGCUGACAUAAGUAACGAUAAAGCGGGUGAAAAGCCCGCUCGCCGGAAGACCAAGGGUUCCUGUCCAACGUUAAUCGGGGCAGGGUGAGUCGACCCCUAAGGCGAGGCCGAAAGGCGUAGUCGAUGGGAAACGGGUUAAUAUUCCCGUACUUGGUGUUACUGCGAAGGGGGGACGGAGAAGGCUAUGUUGGCCGGGCGACGGUUGUCCCGGUUUAAGCGUGUAGGUGUGUGUUCCAGGUAAAUCCGGUUCACUUUAACACUGAGGCGUGAUGACGAGGCACUACGGUGCUGAAGUAACAAAUGCCCUGCUUCCAGGAAAAGCCUCUAAGCAUCAGGUAACAUCAAAUCGUACCCCAAACCGACACAGGUGGUCAGGUAGAGAAUACCAAGGCGCUUGAGAGAACUCGGGUGAAGGAACUAGGCAAAAUGGUGCCGUAACUUCGGGAGAAGGCACGCUGACACGUAGGUGAAGUGAUUUACUCAUGGAGCUGAAGUCAGUCGAAGAUACCAGCUGGCUGCAACUGUUUAUUAAAAACACAGCACUGUGCAAACACGAAAGUGGACGUAUACGGUGUGACGCCUGCCCGGUGCCGGAAGGUUAAUUGAUGGGGUCAGCGCAAGCGAAGCUCCUGAUCGAAGCCCCGGUAAACGGCGGCCGUAACUAUAACGGUCCUAAGGUAGCGAAAUUCCUUGUCGGGUAAGUUCCGACCUGCACGAAUGGCGUAAUGAUGGCCAGGCUGUCUCCACCCGAGACUCAGUGAAAUUGAACUCGCUGUGAAGAUGCAGUGUACCCGCGGCAAGACGGAAAGACCCCGUGAACCUUUACUAUAGCUUGACACUGAACAUUGAGCCUUGAUGUGUAG